rnacentral:rRNA from 1 species
CCGCUUGUGCGGGCCCCCGUCAAUUCCUUUGAGUUUUAGCCUUGCGGCCGUACUCCCCAGGCGGGGCACUUAAUGCGUUAGCUACGGCGCGGAAAACGUGGAAUGUUCCCCACACCUAGUGCCCAACGUUUACGGCAUGGACACCAGGGUAUCUAAUCCUGUUCGCUCCCCAUGCUUUCGCUCCUCAGCGUCAGUAACAGCCCAGAGACCUGCCUUCGCCAUCGGUGUUCCUCCUGAUAUCUGCGCAUUUCACCGCUACACCAGGAAUUCCAGUCUCCCCUACUGCACUCCAGCCUGCCCGUACCCACUGCACACUCGGAGUUAAGCCCCGAGCUUUCACAGCAGACGUGACAAACCGCCUACGAGCUCUUUACGCCCAAUAAUUCCGGAUAACGCUCGCACCCUACGUAUUACCGCGGCUGCUGGCACGUAGUUAGCCGGUGCUUCUUCUGAAGGUACCGUCACCCGAAGGCUUCUUCCCAACUGAAAGAGGGUUACAACCCGAAGGCCGUCAUCCCUCACGCGGCGUCGCUGCAUCAGGCUUGCGCCCAUUGUGCAAUAUCCCCCACUGCUGCCUCCCGUAGGAGUCUGGGCCGUGUCUCAG